rnacentral:rRNA from 1 species
AAGCAGCGGAGCGUGUGGUUAAUUCGAUGCUACACGAGAACUUACCAGGUUUGACAUGCAAGUGGUAGGAACCGAAAGGCGACGACCUUCGGGAGCUUGCACAGGUGCUGCAUGGCUGUCGUCAGCUCGUGUCGUGAGAUGUUCGGUUAAGUCCGCUAACGAGCGCAACCCUCGUCGUGUGUUAUACGUGUCACACGAUACUGCCGGUAUCAAGCCGGAGGAAGGUGGGGAUGAUGUCAAGUCAGCAUGGCCUUUAUAUCCUGGGCUACACACACGCUACAAUGGCAGAUACAAUAGGUUGCGAAACCGCGAGGUGGAGCCAAUCCUCAAAGUCUGUCUCAGUUCAGAUUGUAGGCUGCAACUCGCCUGCAUGAAGUUGGAGUUGCUAGUAAACGCAGGUCAGCUAUACUGCGUUGAAUACGUUCCCGGGGUUU